ensembl:lncRNA
GUAAUACAAGUUUCUGUGUAUCUAUUUGGGCCCAACUUGGGCAGGCGGCUGGUGUAAAGCUCACAUGUGGCGGUGGGGCUCAGGCGACUUAUGGCAGAAAGAUUUAUCAUAACAGUGGGGGUUUUUUGUUUGUUUGUUUGCAUUUUUUUGUCUCUAUCUCAGCUUUCAAACUUUGCACUGUUUGAAAUGUUUCUUGCAAUCUUUGGUUUGUCUUUUCUUCCAUUUCUCUGAAGGAUUUUAUCAUUUCUUCUCUUAGGGUCUCUAUCAUCUGUAUGAAGUUGUUUUUUAGGUUGCUCUCUUCUGCUUCAUCUGUGUUGGGGUGUUCAGGUCUUUCUGUCAUUGAGUCCCUGGACUCUGGUGGAGUAAUAUUGGUUUUUCUGUUGUUGGAUGUGUUCUUUCAUGUUCCCAUCUUUUUUUCCAGUGGGUGCACGUGGUGUCUCUUCCUCUUCUGAUGUGUACGGGUUCAAUUUUCUCUUCUGGUGGGUUCAAGAGGGUCAGAUACUCUGAUGGGUAUCAAGGUGAUUGAACUGAGACUUGAAGAAGAUAAAAGAAGUUGCCCAAAUCAAAUAGUACCUAAAAAAUCCAGAAUUUGAACUCAUAAAAGAUAAUAAGAAGGAGGUCAGAGGCAACCAAUGGAAAGUCUACAGGCAGAGCUCUCUCUAAAAACUGCAAAGAAAUAUAUAACCCAGAGUUCCUCAGUCAGCAACACCACACUUCCUUACAACAGGGCCUGCAAGAGUUUGCACAUAUAUAUAUAUAUAUAUAUAUAUAUAUAUAUAUAUAUAUAUUAUGGCUGUUAGCUUGGUGUUUAUAUACAACUCCUCACAGUAGGAACAGAAUACUGAACAUCAACAAAAAAAAGAAAGAAAGAAAGAAAGAAAGAAAGAAAGAAAGAAAUUUCAUCCUAAGCAUGAACCAAAAGGACUGUCAUAUUAGGUAGAAAGUGCUUAACCAAGUGAGGGUAAUUAUGAAGGACGUGUUCUGGGUGCCAGCAACAUAGUGGAUGUUCAGUAAAUAACAAAGGUAUUGUUCUGAGGCUCUUGUAAGAUUUCUAGUUUGAUUGAACUUCACUAAGAUCUCAAGGAUCUCCCUCCCCACCUCACCUCCAGACCUCUUCUUUGAUGCCAUAUUUGGAAUUUGCUAGCAUGUAUUACAAAAUUCCUGUCAGAAGGAUGUACUAGUGAUUUGGGGAAGCUACACCAGAGAAGCUGCAUCAAUUCCAUCACAGUUGACAUGUUCCCUGGGAAGAAACAGAUUAAAGAUAACAGAUUUCAGUGAAGCAAAUGAUGGCAUUUGGAUUCUUAAUGUAUCAAUUACAUUCCAACUGCUUUUAUAAGACAUUCAAAGUAACAUGGGGGAGGGUAAAGAGAAAUCCUCAGAAAGCUAAAGGAAAUAAUAAUAUGUGUUAUUUACAUAAAAUCAUUUUCAUUUGAGAACAUUUUGAAUAAUUCCAAAGGAAGAUCGGUGGCUUUUACAUUAAAUUGCUGCUUACUAAUUUGAAAGAUAAAAGAGAAAUGGAAUGGAAAUAUGACUUUUCAAUGAGUGAAAAUGAACACAGACUAAAAUGCUACAUUUUUUGGUGCUUGGGAUUCACUUACCUACCCACAUUUGUUUAAUGAAGCAUAACAAGCCACAGGCACACUGCUUCUCACUAGUACUGUACAUCAGAGUCUAGGAAAAGCAGGAAAUUCACAGCAGGGGGAGAACAACCCUCUGUUUUUCCAAAUAGAUUUCACAAAAACACUUAACUCUGCUGGGGAUCAUUAGAGUGUUGGUUUUUUGUUGUUGUUGUUGUUGUUGUUUCAUCAUACUAUUUCUAUAAUUCAAAAAUCUGAAAACCCUCCCCAGCUUAGUUCUUUUAUGCAACAAAACCAUCACCCAGAAAUGCGAAAAUGUAACAGGAGUAUAACAUCUGCAGAAUGCCAAGCAGGUCUCUCUCUCUCUCUCUCUCUCUCUCUCUCUCUCUCUCUCUCUCUCUCUCUCUCUCUCUCUCUCUCUCUCUGUCUUUCUCUGUCUCUCUGUCUCUCUCUCUGUCUCUCUCUCUCUCAUAGGAAUGUUAAACAAGAAAGAUUUGGUGUGAGGAAACAGCCCCAGGACUCAUUGGUGUGAUUUAGUUUACAUAUAGACUGGAAUGCAGUCUUAGAGAAUACAAGCUGGUUAGGGAUGAAAAAAUCAAGAGUUUGGAAAAAUAAAGCUGAUCAUUUUUCAAAGUAGUGAACAUUUUAAAACUAUAUAUAUAGUUGAAAAAUACCUUGUAACUACCAUAUGAGAUGAACUCUAUUUUAAAAUGAAUUAUCUAUAAAAACAUUAUGAAUAUAGUCUCUGAUUUAAGAAAUGGUUUAAGCAGCUUUCUGCAGUACUGGAAGACUCACAGUCUCUAAUAUGUCAUAGCUGUUAACCAGACAAGCAUUUUUUUUUCUGGGAGCUAUUCCUUCAGGAGACUAUACAUUAACCACAGACAUAAUAAAAUGGCCAGAGCUGGUAGGGAUGGGAGAGAGCUGGAUGGUAUUAAGAAAUUUAAGUGAAUAAAAUAUGGUGAACAUUUAUCAACAAAUAUUUAACCUAGAAUUAUUAUUAGAACUCUAAAAGGGAAAAAUGUGAGUGACAGUAAUAUUUGUGUGUCUGUGCCUUACCUCUUGUAAUUAUUUAUGCCAUAAUUGGUUGACCUAUAAGAAUUAACAUAAUGCUGCUUUCCCUGUUCCUUUUAAAGAUCUGAUGAAAAUCAUUUGCUUUUAAAGUCAAACCUUAAUUUUUGCAGUCCUAUUGAGAAACUAAUUAACAAUUUUAUUUAAGUUAAAGUUCAGCAAAAACCAAAAUAUUUUGACUUUGGGAAAGACAAAGAUUUCUCAGGGCAUGACUUAGUCAAUGUUCUAUUGCUGUGAAGAGAUACCAGGAACACAGCAGUUCUUAUAAAGGAAAACAUUUAAUUGCGGCUUGCUUACAGUUUCAGAGGUUUAGUUCAUUAUCCUCAUGGCUCAUUGAAGUAGUCAAUAGGGGCAUGCAGACAGAAACAGCGCUGGAGAAGUUGAGAUUACUAGAUCUGCAGGUAGCUGGAAGAGAGGAGAGAGAGGAGAGAUUGGCCUAGCUUGGGCUUUUGAAACUUCAAACCCCACCCCCAAUGACACACUUGCUCCAAAAGGACAAACCUCCUAUUUCUUCUCAAGUACUGCCACUCCCUGAUAACUAAGCAUUCAAAGUAUGAGCCUAUGGGGUUCAUUCUAAUUUCAACCACCACAGGACACAAAAGUCAUUAGUCAAAAACAAAAGAACAAGAAUUUAUAGAAACUAAUUUUACUGUCCCUUCAAUGAUAUUAUUAAGAAAGUAAAGAGGCCAGGGCUGUUGCAGACCUGGGGCUGGGGAGGUAUCUCAGCAAUUACAAGCCUCCCUGGGGAAGGAUUGUAUGUGGAUGGAGUAUUUUAGCAGUUAUAAGCCAGGGAGAUGUGUCUCAGUAGUUAUAAACCCUGGAUGGAGGGUAGUGUUGUGGGGGAGUUUUUCAGUAGUUAUAAGAUCCCUG